GGUGCGAUGGUUGUCGUCAGCUCGUGCCGUGAGGUGUUCGGGUUAAGUCCCGCAACGAGCGCAACCCUCGCCAGAUGUUGCCAUCGGGUCAUGCCGGGCACUCUUCUGGGACUGCCUGAGUAAUCAGGAGGAAGGAGAGGAUGACGUCAAAUCUGCAUGCCUCUUACGUCCUGGGCUGCACGCGUGCUACAAUGGCGGGUACAAAGGGUAGCCAAACCGCGAGGUGGAGCCAAUCCCACAAAACCCGUCCCAGUUCGGAUCGGAUGUCUGCAACUCGACUCCGUGAAGGCGGAAUCGCUAGUAACCGUGGAUCAGCAACGCCACGGUGAAUACGUUCCCGGGCCUU
rnacentral:rRNA from 1 species